GCAAACUACUCACAAGAGAAGGACAGACUGAUUCUAGAGAGUUGUAAAAUUUUCAUCUUGUUUUGCUAUGAAAAUUUGAGAGCUGACAGCACAGGCUUUCGCAGCUGCCAGGACAGAGGAAUGCCGAAACAGGGCCAGUGCCUCUGGUGCAUUUCAAGCUUCAGAGAAUGGACUUCUUCAGUUCCCUGUUUCUCCUGUGGAUGUGCCUUCAUUUCGGUGUAAUGAAUCCAGGAAGCUUUCCACUACAUGAUUUGACCAGCUCUUCAAGAGAAACCCAGUAAUGACAAAAACAUGCAAUUAUCUUUAAUCACCCGAUCUGCCCAUUUUACUGAGAUCAUUGAGAGUGGCUCCAUGUUCAGUUUUGGUCUACUUGUCAAAGAUAAAUAAUUCAGCAAGAAAUCCAUGAGAUAAUGGUAGUUACUACAUUCAGAAAAUUAAGAAGUUGUAUCCUCCUUCUCUCCUGAAUCAUCAUAUGUUCACUCUUCUUACUCCAAGUCCAAGUUUCUACCUGUAUGGCCCAAAUGUGUUGAAAGGAGCACUUCUUUAAAACUUGCACAUUUCAUCAUUUCUGUAUAUGCCAUUUUAAAAAGUGAAUUAAUUUUACUUUAAUUCCUUGAUAAAAAGUAAGGAAGUGGAGCCCAUUCUACCACAAAGGCUUUAAGAGUGGGACCAACUGCACCCACGGGUGCAGUUCUUGUGCUAGGCAGUAGUAUUUUGUGCAGGUGGAGAUUGCUGGGUAAUCCAGACCACGUAUGAAGAUGAAAUAAGCCAGAAAUUGUCUGAGGGUGUCUCAAGUUGCCCUGAAGUCGAUCAGCUAACCACUGCUAAUGCUAUGGUACAAUCAGUCCAUGGUGCUCAGUAAUACCUCCUGUCUGCAAACAGCCCAGGGAAGUCCUACCUCCUUGAUCCUCCAUAUUGCGUGGUGCAUUUCUUGUGGUUCUCUGCCACAUGAGGACUUUGGUAUGUGUCUCCUGUUGCCAGAAGGCCUGAUUACCCUUACUUUGAACCCUACAUUAAUGUGAGUGAUUGCAAUAUUUUUCUCUCUCUAAAUCAUCGUCUGUUCAUCCAGGAACUCUUCCCUUCUUUCCUCAUUCCGUAAAAAUAUCUGGAAUAACUGUCUGAAGGUAUGUAUCUGCACUGAAUUGCUUAGCUCCUUUGUUCAUUCCUUUUUGUUCUUCUCUGAUCA